rnacentral:lncRNA from 1 species
GUCAACUCCAUCCAAAACUUUGUUAAAUCUGAUGACGUGAUAUGGAAUUUUUGGUAAUUUCAUCCAUGUGGCCCUUUUUAAAUAAUUUAAAGAAAAUUUUAUAAGAGCCUAAAUUAAAAUAAAUAAAUAAAUAAAAGCCAGCACCAUCUUCUCCAUAUUGCCACCACCAUCUUCUCCACAUUGCACCACCACCCCUGUCAGCAAACCCAGCCGCAUUAGCCCACCCCAAAUUCAAGCCCUAUCACCAUCGCGAUCCAAUCUCCACCAUCGACACCCAACUUCAAGAACAAGCAAGAAUCAAGGAGCAUAUAAUCUAGAUCUGACGUUCCUCAAUCUCUCUAUUUUUUUACUUUUCUUCACAACCUCUCAAUCUCCUUUUUUGGACUAUGGUGCGGGAGCUUACGUUGUUGAGUUGUGGGGGGGACUGUGGCAAAUUGGUGCGUAUUGGGGGAAGGCGGUUACUAGGUUUGUAGGGGGAACUAUGGCAGAUUGGUGCGUGUUGGGGUGUGGUCUACCAUGGGCAAGUUGUACGUGGGGAUGAAGUUCAACUUAAGGGUGGCGUGGGCAGCGUGGGAAAGAUUGGGGGAGAUGGUGGUUGUAGGGAAGAAGGUCGGGGUUG